GUCCACGCCCUAAACGAUGGAUACUAGGCGUGAGAGGUAUCGACCCCUCUCGUGCCGCAGCUAACGCACUAAGUAUCCCGCCUGGGGAGUACGGCCGCAAGGUUGAAACUCAAAUGAAUUGACGGGGACCCGCACAAGCGGUGGAGCAUGUGGAUUAAUUCGAUACUAACCGAAGAACCUUACCCAGACUUGACAUCGAUGGUAAGCCGUUGAAAGACGGCCCUCCCUCUCAAGGGGGACCAGAAGACACUUGUUGCAUGGCUGUCGU
rnacentral:rRNA from 1 species